AUUCCAGCUCCAAUAGCGUAUGUUAAAGUUGUUGCGGUAAAAAAGCUCGUAGUUGGAUUUCUGUUGAGAGCGACCGGUCCAUACCAUGUAUGCGUAUCUGGCUUGCUCUCGGCAUCCUCUCGAUGGACGUUGCUGCGCCUGAUUGCGUGGCGCGGACCUCGGGACUUUUACUUUGAGGAAAUUAGAGUGUUCACGGCAGGCUUUCGCCAGAAUACAUUAGCAUGGAAUAAUACUAUAGGAUCUCGGUUCUAUUUUGUUGGUUUCUAGAAUUGAGAUAAUGAUUAAUAGGGACAAUUGGGGGCAUUCGUAUCAACACGUCAGAGGUGGAAUCCUUGGAUUGUGUUGCGACGAACUACUGCGAAAGCAUUUGCCAAGGAUGUUUUCAUCA
rnacentral:rRNA from 1 species